AGAGUUUGAUCAUGGCUCAGGACGAACGCUGGCGGCGUGCUUAACACAUGCAAGUCGAACGGUGAAGCUUCGGGGUGGAUCAGUGGCGAACGGGUGAGUAACACGUGGGCAAUCUGCCUGCACUCUGGGACAAGCCCUGGAAACGGGGUCUAAUACCGGAUACGACCUGCCUCCGCAUGGGGGUGGGUGGAAAGCUCCGG
rnacentral:rRNA from 1 species